rnacentral:rRNA from 1 species
GGAAUAUUGGGCAAUGGAGGAAACUCUGACCCAGCGACGCCGCGUGCGGGAUGAAGGCCUUCGGGUUGUAAACCGCUUUCAGUAGGGAAGAAGCGAAAGUGACGGUACCUACAGAAGAAGCACCGGCUAACUAUGGGCCAGCAGCCGCGGUAAUACAUAGGGUGCAAGCGUUGUCCGGAAUUAUUGGGCGUAAAGAGCUCGUAGGUGGUUUGAUACGUCGGGUGUGAAAUUCAGGGGCUCAACCCCUGACCUGCAUUCGAUACGGUCAAGCUAGAGUUUGGUAGGGGAGACUGGAAUUCCUGGUGUAGCGGUGGAAUGCGCAGAUAUCAGGAGGAACACCGAUGGCGAAGGCAGGUCUCUGGGCCAAUACUGACACUGAGGAGCGAAAGCGUGGGGAGCGAACAGGAUUAGAUACCCUGGUAGUCCACGCCGUAAACGGCGGGCGCUAGUUGUGCGAACCUUCCACGGUUUGUGCGACGCAGCUAACGCAUUAAGCGCCCCGCCUGGGGAGUACGAUCGCAAGAUUAAAACUCAAAGGAAUUGACGG